AUUGAACGCUGGCGGCAUGCUUUACACAUGCAAGUCGAACGGCAGCACGGGCUUCGGCCUGGUGGCGAGUGGCGAACGGGUGAGUAAUGCAUCGGAACGUACCGUGUAGUGGGGGACAACGUAGCGAGAGUUACGCUAAUACCGCAUACGCCCCGAGGGGGAAAGUGGGGGACCGCAAGGCCUCACGCUAUAUGAGCGGCCGAUGUCGGAUUAGCUAGUUGGUAGGGUAAAGGCCUACCAAGGCGACGAUCCGUAGCGGGUCUGAGAGGCUGAUCCGGCCAACUGGGACUGAGACACGGCCCAGACUCAUACGGGAGGCAGCAGUGGGGAAUGUUGGACAAUGGGCGCAAGCCUGAUCCAGCCAUGCCGCGUGAGUGAAGAAGGCCUUCGGGUUGUAAAGCUCUUUCAGACGGAAAGAAAUCUCCCAGGAUAAUACCUUGGGAGGAUGACGGUACCGUAAGAAGAAGCACCGGCUAACUACGUGCCAGCCGCCGCCGUAACAC
rnacentral:rRNA from 1 species